rnacentral:rRNA from 1 species
GACGGGUGAGUAACGCGUGGGUAACCUGCCUUAUACAGGGGGAGUAACAGUCAGAAAUGGCUGCUAAUACCGCAUAAGCGCACAGAGCUGCAUGGCUCAGUGUGAAAAACUACCGGUGGUAUAAGAUGGACCCGCGUUGGAUUAGCUGGUUGGUGGGGUAACGGCCCACCAAGGCGACGAUCCAUAGCCGGCCUGAGAGGGUGAACGGCCACAUUGGGACUGAGACACGGCCCAGACUCCUACGGGAGGCAGCAUG